rnacentral:lncRNA from 1 species
ACGGAUAUAGGCUUGUAGAUAUGAAAUAAUGUAGUAAAGCUUAUAUUGUACUGUUUAUGCUUUUGAUAUGUACGAACAUAACAUCCCAAGUCUUAUAAUGAAUUACAUUUCUAUGGAAAUUCUUUUGAUAAAUCUUUAUCAUAUUUUGUUUUGAGACAAAUUCUGCAACACUUUUCAAACAAAGCAUAAACAAAAUCAGUCUUUUCUGGCCGUGAAAAUGAGGAUGUCACAGUUGGUAUCAGAGCAUUAGUUUAAGCGAACUAGGAAUUUGUAGGAUUUCUAGACUUAAACUUAGAAUGCUAAGCGAUGAUUGUGAGGUGUGAGCACUAGCUUAUUUUACGAAUUGUGCCUAAAAUGCUUUUAUGUGUUAAAUGAUUUGUGCAUGACAUGCCGUUAUUUGUUCGGAUCUAUGGUCUGUUGCCGACCGGAUCUAGAAACCUUAUGUAUUUAGGAUUCUAAACAUACGACUACGAUAUUAGAACUAGCAUGUAAACGUUUCAGAGUGAUAAGAAUGAUUUAAACGUCUAUCCUAAAUAAAGAUCUAAAUUCACCUUAUUCGGUGUAUAGAUCAAGAUGGCAAGGACCCGUAGCGGAAACAUGAAUGCAAAUGGGAACCGAGCUCAGCCCCCAGUGAUUGAGCAAAUACCGGUUAUGGAAGCCGCUGCUGAGCCAAUAACGAUGGCCGCAGUACAAGCGAUGAUCCAGGCGAUGUUGGAUCGUCAAAUGGAGGAAACCAGACGUUUGCACCAGCAAAAUCGAGAGGAACCGACUAUUCAGAUCGAACAUCCCGAGUUGAACGAAGGGCAAACUGAGGAAGGAAACUAAAGUGGGACUGUUGGUCAAGCCAACCCACCGAUAGUUAGGCAAAACCACCAGGAUGGAGGAAAUGACAGACGUGGAUGCAAAUACAAGGAUUUCAUGGCAUCCAAGCCACCGAGUCUAUCUGGAAGCCCGACACCGGUGGAAGUCAUGAACUGGAUCUCUGAAAUGGAGACGAUGUUUGAGAGUUGCGAGUGUAGCAACAGGUAGAAGACCGCUCUCGCGAUUCCUCUGUUGAAAUCUCGAGUACUAAGUUGGUGGAAGCUACUAGCUGAUUCAAUGCCCAAAGGUGAAGCAAGCAAGAUGUCGUGGGAGGAUUUUCUGGUAUAGUUGAAGAUGCAAUACUGCUCUGAGCAGGAUCUUCUGGAGAUUAACAACGAAUUCCAGAAUCUGAUGAAGGGAAGAAUGACCGUUACUGAAUAUGCUGCAAGCUUUACUGAGAAAAUGAAGCUUGUUCCUCACCUCGUUCCAACUAAACUCUCCAAGGUUAACAAAUUUGCCAUCGGAUUACCAGCGGACUUCGGUCCAAUGGUCAAGCAAACUAACACUCUGAAAGCCGCCAUCUAGGCUGCUAAGAAUGUGGAGACACAGAUACGAGAGAAGGGUCUGGACAGAGUGGAGGUGGGAGAGAAAAGGAAAUCUGACGGAUCCUCAAGGUCCGGUAAGAAGGGUAGAUUCUCGAAGUCUGGUUCGAGAGGAGGAGGAUCAGAAGCGAAGUGGUGUGACAAGUGUAAGAAAAAGCACUCUGGGAAGUGUGAUGGAGGGGUCACUUGUUUCAAAUGCGGAGAGCCUAGGCACUAUCCCAACACAUGCACGUUCACUAAGAAGGUUUGUUAUGAGUGCAACGAGGAGGUGCACAUUUCAAAGGAUUGUCGAAGCAAAACGAGGCAGGGAGACCCAACAUACCACCAAAGCCGAAGGCGAGAGCCUUCCAGAUGACGCUUGAGGUUGCGAAGGAGGCAGCAGACAUCGCUUCAGGUACCUUUCUUGUAAAUGGUUUGCCUGCGAAUAUACCAUUUGAUUCCGGAGCCAACCACUCCUUUGUGUCGCAUAAAUUUGGUGGGAAAUUAGCAUUGCCUGUAGAAAAACUAGAUAAUACCCUGAUUGUAGAAGUUGCCAGUGGCAAAUUCGUACCUGUUAGUAAUCGUAUUAGGAACAUCGUCAUUGACCUAAAUGGAAACGAAUUCCACGAAGAGCUAUUACCAUAGAGUUAAACGGUUUCCACAUCGUUUUGGGUAUGGAUUGGCUUAGCGCCAACGAUGUUGAGAUUCAAUGCCGAAAGAAGAUAGUAAGGGUGAACCCACCCGGAAAAGAAUCAUUUAUGGUGUACGGGGACAAGCGCAGAGUGAAUUCUGGAAUCAUAUCCCUGAUGAAAGCCAUGAAAUUUUUGUCCAAAGGAUGUGCAUCGUACUUGGCAUUCGUAAUCGAUGCUAAGAAGGAGAAGAAAGUGGUGCAGAAUAUAACGGUUGUGUGUGAUUAUCCGAAAGUCUUUCCCGAACAUCUUUCCAGAUUACCACCUGAUAGGCAAGUGGAAUUUCAUAUAGAAUUGUUACCAGGAACAACACCGAUAGCAAAGAAACCUUACCGAUUAGCACCGAUGGAAAUGAAGGAGCUUAUGACGCAACUUCAGGAGCUGUUGGACAACGGGUUCAUUCGACCUAGUUCAUCACCUUGGGGAGCUCCGGUGUUAUUCGUGAAGGAAAAGGACGGAAGUAUGAGAAUGUGUAUAGACUACCGAGAGCUGAAUAAGGCAACGGUAAAGAAAAAUUAUCCAUUGCCGAGGAUUGAUAACCUAUUCGAUCAGCUGCAAGGUUUGAGCUACUUCUCAAAGAUCAAUCUUAGGUCAAGAUGUCAUCAGCUGAAGGUGAGAGAGCAGGAUAUUGAGAAGACUGCAUUCAGGACAAGAUAUGGACACUAUGAGAGCUUGGUUAUGUCAUUUGGACUAACCAAUGGUCCUGCAGCAUUCAUGGAUUUGAUGAACAGGGUUUGUAAACUAUUCCUCGAUAAAUCCAUGAUAGUGUUCAUCGACGACAUUCUCAUCUACUCGAAAAGCGAAGAGGAGCAUGGCAAGCAUCUACAGGAAGUAUUAGAAGUCUUAAAGAAGCAGAAGCUUUUUUCAAAAUUCUCCAAGUGUGAUUUUUGGAUCCGAGAAGUUCAAUUCUUGGAUCAUGUUGUUAACCAGGAGGGACUAAUGGUAGACCCCGAAAAGAUCGAGGCUGUGAAUAAAUGGGAACGUCCGAAAUGUCCCACGGAUAUUCGAAGCAUUCUAGGAAUAGCCGGAUAUUAUCGAUGAUUUAUCCAAGGCUUUUCUUCAAUAGCUGCUUCGUUAACAGCUUUGACCCAUAAAGGAGCUACGUAUAUGUGGAGUGAAAAACACAAUGAGGCAUUCGAGAAGCUAAAGAAUAAGUUAUGUGAAGCACCGAUACUUUCUCUACCCCAUGGAGUUGAAGAUUUCACGGUUUAUUGUGACGCUUCUAGAGUCGGUUUGGGUUUUGUUCUGACCCAAAGAGAAAAGGUGAUAGUAUACGCAUCUCGACAAUUGAAAGAGCACGAAAAGAACUACCCCACUCAUGAUUUGGAGUUGGCUGCGGUAGUUUUUGCUCUAAAGAUAUGGAGGCAUUACCUCUACGGAACGAAGUGCAAGUUGUUCACUAAUCAUAAGAGUCUCUAGUAUCUCUUUAAUCAGAAAGAAUUGAACAUGAGGCAACGACGCUGGCUAGAACUACUCAAGGACUACGACUGUGAGAUACUUUACCACCCAGGUAAAGCAAAUGUUGUUGCUGAUGCUCUCAGUUGGAAAGUCAAUCUUGAAAGGAAAAGAACAAGGGCAUUGAGAAUUGAAGUCGUCUUGACGAUUGUAGAAAGUAUCAAAAAAGCUUAGGAAGAAGCUUUAGAGAAGAAUGACUGAAAGGAAGAACGUUUGGGAAGAAUGUUAGUGUUUGGUACAAACAGUCGAGGACUGAAAGUAUUCCAAGAUCGAAUUUGGGUACCUAAGACGGGAGGAAUAAGAGACCUUCUGAUGGAAGAAGCACAUAAACCAUGUACUCAAUUCAUCCCGGUAGCACUAAAAUGUAUAGGGACCUAAAACCCUACUACUGGUGGCCGAUGAUGAAGCUCGAUGUUGCGAAGUAUGUGGCAGAGUGCGUAACAUGUGCAAGGGUUAAGGCACAACAUAAAAAACCCUAUGGGAGUUUAGAACCUUUACCUGUACCCAUGGGUAAAUAGGAAGACAUCACCAUGGAUUUUGUGACUGAACUGCCCAGGACGAAGAGCAGACAUGACAUGAAUUGGGUAGUAGUGGAUCGUUUCACCAAGAGUGCACACUUCAUAGCAGCCAACGAGAAGUGGUCUAUGGAUAGGCUCGCAAAUGCUUACAUGAAGGAAAUUGUAAGACUUUACGGUGUCCCUCUUACGAUUGUAUUAGAUCGUGAUAGUCGUUUCACGUCGAGGUUUUGGAGGAGUCUACAAGAGGAGUUGGGUAUGAAAUUACGUUUGAGUACGGCUUACCAUCCGCAAACUGAUGGUCAGAGCGAAAGAACGAUUCAGACAUUGGAAGAUAUGCUGAGAGCAUGUACCCUCGAGUUCCAAGGGAAGUGGGACGAGCACGUAGCUCUGGUAGAAUUUUCCUACAACAACAGUUUCCACUCGAGCAUCAAGAUGGCACCUUAUCAAGCCUUGUAUGGACAGAAGUGUCGUACGCCGUCCUGUUGGCUUGAAGUUGGAGAGAAGCAGUUUAUGGGCGCCGAGAUAGUCCAUGAGACUACUGAGUAGUUCAAAGUGAUUAGGGAAAGGAUGUUAGCAGCCCAGGAUCGUCAGAAGAGCUAUGCUGACAAGAAAAGACGACCGAUAACCUUGGAAGUUGGGGAUUCGAUUUUGCUAAAAGUCUCACCAUGGAAGGGACUUAUACGAUUUGGGAAACAAGGAAAAUUUACUCCAAGGUUUAUUGGAUCGUUCAAAGUUCUUCAAAAGAUUGGGAACCAAGCAUACAAGCUGGAAUUGCCCGAAGAACUCAAUGGUAUUCAUAACACCUUCCAUGUGUGUUAUUUGAUGAAAUUCGCGGGAGAUGUUCCUGACAUAAUUCCAAUCUCAGAGUUAAGGAUGGAUGAAAAUAAAAGGUUGAUCGAAGAGCCUGAGGCAAUUGUUGACCGUAAGACUAAGAAGUUACGACGCAAGAUGGUCGACUUAGUGCUAGUCCGAUGGAAACAUUCGAAUGGGCCGAAUCUCACUUGGGAAAUAGAGGAUGACAUGAUGAGUCGCUAUCCACAUCUGUUUGUUGAUGCAUGAUUCCGGGACGGAAUCAUCCUAAGGGGGAGAGAAUUGUAACGCUCGAGUUUCAGGGCUAAGCAUAUUUAUCAAUGUAAUAGUCUAGGUCUACUAUUGUAACUCGUUUUGAAGUAUUAAAGAUGAAAUAUUUGAGUAUUAUGUGAAUUAUGUGUGUUAUUGUGCUUAUUAUUUAAUUAUAAAUGUAUAAUUAAUAAAGAAUAAAAAUAAGAGUUAAAAUUAAAGUGUGAGAUAAACCUGAUAUCUCUACGUAAAGUUGUAGUGGUCGAAACAACGAUUCCUGGGAUAUAAGGAACGCCGAAAUCCGAGUUAUAACGAAGAAGUUAUGACCCGUCGAAGUUUCGCGACAGAACCGGCACGAUACCGAGAAGCGUAAAUAGUGAAUUUACGAUAGAACGAGAUUUAGCCUUACCGCUCUAAACGAAAGUCGUAGAAUAUGUUAAACGAAGAACAUUGAUAAAAAGAAUGCCAUAAUCUGACUUUGUAUGAGGAAGUUAUGAUUUUUCUAAGAUUUAGCAUAGUAGUGCACAGCCCGAAAUCUAAAUUUUAGAUCGGUCGAUUUUUAGCCGACGAGAUCUAAAUGAAAGUUGUAGUACUCGUAAAUACCAACGCGUAGAUAAAAAGAAUGUCGAUAAUAGAGCUUGUAUGCGAAAGAUAUGGACGAAGCUUAGUCCAUACUUUUAGAGCGCGGCGAAUUCGAUACAGUUUUGUAAAUCCGAGAUAGAAUGAGAAUUAGCUAUUGAGGUCUAAAUGAAAGUUGAAGAUCUUAUUAAUAGGAACUGAACGUUAAAAAGACAGAUGAAAAUGCAGCUCGUAUACAAAAGUUACGGACGAAGCUGGGAGACUACUUUACUAUACACUUCCUAUAAAUAAGAGAUGAACUCUUCAUUAUUUCCUCACACCUUCCAACCUUUCUUUCUCUCUCUAACCUCCCUAACCCCCCCCCAAGUCUAGGGAACCUCCCUAUCACGAGAAGAAAGCCCCGGAGCGCCCGACGGCUCCGAGAAGAAAAGCUUUCGGCUCGGAAACGUUGCUCCAGCGAAGCCCGGUUUUUUAAUAAAAACCCGGUGUAAGUGAGUUACGCCUAUCUUAUAUUUAAUAUAGCUUCUAUUUAAUUAUAGUAACAUGAUUAGGAACUUAAAAUAAUUGUUUGGGCUAUUAUUAUCAGUUAUAUUGAGUGUUAUUUAACGCUUAUAUAAUAGUUAUAAUAGCUAGACUAUUAAUUAGUCGCGAUUAACCUUAAAAGUAAACUCUAGUGGUAUUAAUACUAGGUUUUGGUCAAGGAAAAAUUGUUUUAAGAAGUAACGAAGAGCUGUCCGAGUGCCGAGUCACCACCUUACCAGGUGAGGGCAUAGUUACUUUCAACUUACACAUAGAUAUGAAGUAUUUUAUACGAAUUGCGUGCUAUGUGUGCAUAUUACUUGAAUACUUGCUAUCUAUGCUGCAUGAACAUUAUUAUACAUGUUUUCAAUGACCCAAACUGUAUAUGUAUUUUAUAUCUACGAAAAUGUUGGGGUAAAACAUGGGUAGAUGUAAUAGGUGAUGUCUAAUAAAAUGAUGAGAGGCCUCGAUGUUGAUGUUGUUGAUUCUGUCAUCUAGCGGAGUAUGGAUGACGACCACAGACUCUUCUAGACAGUCCAGUAGAACACUAGCAGGCUCGCAACCUGCAGGUGUUUGUGAACGAUAUGUUCACCGAUGUACUCCAUCCCCCACAUUGUUGCCUUUAGGACAUUUAUUUUUAAGGAAUCCCCUUAGCAGUAGUGUCCAUCACGAUGAUGAUCCUUAGACUAGGUCCCUUAUGAUAGGUGUUUAGGGACGUAAAGUAAGGAUGACGGGAACGGGUAAUCAGGUGAUUGUUGAUUGAUGAUAUUAAUAAACUUAUUUAUUGUGGGUUGGAAACCCUAUGUGCUCACAAGGCUCCCAAGCCCGACCCACUCAGUUUUAUGUAUUACAGGUAGUGGCGCUUGAGCAUAGAUAUGAUGUUUGGACGAGGGAUUACGGAUAUAGGCCUGUAGAUAUGAAAUAAUGUAGUAAGGCUUAUAUUGUACUGUUUAUGCUUUUGAUCUGUACGAACAUGACAUCCCAAGUCUUUUAAUGAAAUACAUUUCUAUGGAAAUGCUUUUGAUAAAUCUUUAUCAUAUUUUGUUUUGGGACAAAUUCCGCAACACUUUUAUUUAAAAUGUUACUCUGAUUUUCAAACAAAGCAUAAACAAAAUCGGUCUUUUCUGGCCAUGAAAAUGGGGAUGUCACAGUUGGUAUCAGAGCAUUAGUUUAAGUGAACUAGGAAUUUAUAGGAUUUCUAGACUUAAACUUAGAAUGCUAAGCGAUGAUUAUGAGGUGUGAGCACUAGCUUAUUUUAGGAAUUGUGCCUAAAAUGCUUUUAUGUGCUAAAUGCUUUAUGCAUGAUAUGUUGUUAUUUGUUCGGAUCUAUGGUCUGUUGUCGACCGGAU